GUUGUUUCUUUGGUUUUUGGCCCAAGAUCAAGAAGAGUGUCUGUUCUUAUCAUUGAAUAUCUCAUAAAUCCUCUACCUGAGGACACUUUAUCAAGUGGAUUUUUGGAACAGGGAGAUUGAAUAGAGGCUUGCUCCAUCCAUUCCACAAGCCAACCUGAUGUCACAGUCCCUCCAUGAAUGGUGUGGCUCUU